AUUGAACGCUGGCGGCAGGCCUAACACAUGCAAGUCGAACGAGUGGCGGACGGGUGGGUAAUGUCUUGGAAACUGCCUGAUGUAGGGGGAUAACUACUGGAAACGGUAGCUAAUACCGCUUAACAUCCGAUGUGCCCUGAUGGGAGUAGCUGGUUGGUGGGGUAACGGCUCACCAAGGCGACGAUCCCUAGCUGGUCUGAGAGGAUGACCGGCCACACUGGAACUGAGACACGGUCCAGACUCCUACGGGAGGCAGCAGUGGGGAAUAUUGCACAAUGGGCGCAAGUCUGAUGCAGCCAUGCCGCGUGUAUGAAGAAGGCCUUCGGGUUGUAAAGGACUUUCAGCGGGGAAGCGUUACCCGAAGAAGAAGCACCGGCUAACUACGUGCCAGCAGCCGCGGUAAUUC
rnacentral:rRNA from 1 species